rnacentral:rRNA from 1 species
CAGUCGCCGCGGGAAUACGAAGGGGGCUAGCGUUGCUCGGAAUUACUGGGCGUAAAGGGCGCGUAGGCGGACAGUUAAGUCGGGGGUGAAAGCCCGGGGCUCAACCUCGGAAUUGCCUUCGAAACUGGCUGUCUUGAGUACGGGAGAGGUGAGUGGAACUCCGAGUGUAGAGGUGAAAUUCGUAGAUAUUCGGAAGAACACCAGUGGCGAAGGCGACUCACUGGCCCGUUACUGACGCUGAGGCGCGAAAGCGUGGGGAGCAAACAGGAUUAGAUACCCCCGUAGUCCCUGUCUCUUAUAA